rnacentral:rRNA from 1 species
AUGAACGAUGUUCUCUGCCCCUACUUGCGCCGGUUUGUGCUCAUUUUCUUUGAUGACAUUCUUAUCUACAGUGCCUCGUGGGCGGAGCACCUUCAGCACGUCGCCAUCGUCUUCAACGAGCUUCGAGCGCGCCAUCUUCACCUUAAGCGCUCGAAGUGCUCGUUCGGCACGCCUUCGGUCGCCUACCUCGGCCACGUCAUCUUGGCCGAGGGUGUCGCUAUGGAUGCCGACAAGGUGGCGGUUGUCGUGUCCUGGCCGAUGCCGCACUCGCCGCGGGCACUACGAGGCUUCCUGGGCCUCGCGGGGUACUACCGAAAAUUCAUCUGGGAGUUUGGCCUCAUCGCAUCCCCGCUCACGCGCCUGUUGCGCCGCGACGCCUUCGCCUGGGAUGCUGAGGCGACCGAGGCGUUCGAGGGCCUCAAGCGGGCUCUCACUAAGGGUCCGGUCCUCCAGAUGCCCGACUUCGACAAGCCGUUCAUGGUGGACUGCGACGCCUCAGGCGUGGGGUCUGGCGCCGUCCUUCAUCAGGGUGACGGGCCGCUUGCGUUCUUCAGCAGGCCCUUCGCCGUGCGCCAUCAUAAGCUCACGGCCUAUCAGAUGGAGCUCAUUGGCUUGGUGCAGGGCGUGCGCCACUAG